AGGUGCGAUCAUAGUAGCGUUAAUGCACUGGAUCCCGUCAGAACUCCGCAGUUAAGCGGGCUUGGGCUAGAGUAGUACUGGGAUGGUUGACCUCCCAGGAAGUCGUAGUGUUGUACCCU
rfam:Picea glauca, whole genome shotgun sequence.